UAAACUAGGAUUAGAUACCCUAUUAUUUUAUAUGUUAAAAAUUUACCUGGGUAGUAAUAGUUAUGUUCUUUAAACCUAAAGAAUUUGGCGGUAUUUUAGUCUAUUCAGAGGAAUUUGCCCCAUAAUCGAUAAUCCUCGUUAUAUCUUACUUUUAUUUGCAUGCAGUUUGUAUACCGCCGUUAUAAGUUUAUUUUAUUAGAAAUUAUUAAUUUACUUUAUAUAUAAUUUUAUAUUAUUUCAGGUCAAGGUGCAGUUAAUAUAAAAGUGGAGGUGAGUUACAAUAUAACUUAUGUAUACGGAUAUAUAAUUUAAAAUUAUAUUUAAGGUGGAUUUGAUAGUAAAAUUUUUUAUAAUUAAUUUUUGAUUAUAGCUCUAAAAUAAGUACACAUCG
rnacentral:rRNA from 1 species